rnacentral:rRNA from 1 species
AUGUCGAACCAUUGGGGGCUCAUCCAGGCGGCGUGCAACAAAUGGCAUGGGGUCGUCGAGGAGGUCGCGGCUCGGCCGGAGAGCGGCGCCAACGUCGAGGAUCAGCUGGUGCACAUGUUCGCCUUGUAUCGCCUAGGCAACCGCGACCAAGAGUUCAAGUACCUCCAUGUUUACAAGCGCAUUUGCAAGUGCGAGAAGUGGGCGGAAGUCCGGCGCACCCUCGACAAGGCCAAGGAAACCUACAAGCCGGACGCGCCGACGCCGGGCGCCACCGUCAAGUUCGACCUACUCCGGACCAACGUCGCUGCAAAGAAGACGAACACUGACCUGGCUUUCUUGCUGGGUGGGGCGGACAUGCUCCAGAGCAAUGACGAGGCGAUCAAGGCGUGGUACUUGGCGGAGCAUGGUCUCAUCCUGAACCAGCUGCCGUCGACGGCGCCGCCAACUCCCAUGCCCACGCCGACGCCGCCAAGCCCGAGCGAUGAUGGCUCCACGACUCCCCGCAGUACAGAAGCCACGCCGACGCCGCCCAGCACAGAAGCCACACCGACGCUGCCCAACACAGAAGAAGCUCCGACCCCGCCAAGCCCACGCACGCCGACUCCGCCGACACCGGAGGCCGACCUCGCCGUCUGA